UACGGAGGAUGCGGGCGUUAUCCGGAUUUAUUGGGUUUAAAGGGUGCGUAGGCGGACUGUCAAGUCAGCGGUAAAAUUGAGAGGCUCAACCUCUUCCCGCCGUUGAAACUGGUGGUCUUGAGUGGAUGAGAAGUACGCGGAAUGCGUGGUGUAGCGGUGAAAUGCGUAGAUAUCACGCAGAACUCCGAUUGCGAAGGCAGCGUACCGGCAUCCAACUGACGCUGAGGCACGAAAGCGUGGGGAUCAAACAGG
rnacentral:rRNA from 1 species